UCCGUAGGUGAACCUGCGGAGGGAUCAUUACACAAAUGAAAAUAUGAAGGCCCUUCAAACCGGCUGGAUUAUUUUUCUUCACCCUUGUCUUUUGCGCACUUGUUGUUUCCUGGGCGGGUUCGCUCGCCACCAGGACCACACCAUAAACCUUUUUGUUAAUGCAAUCAGCGUCAGUAAAAAGUAAUAAUUAUUUUACAACUUUCAACAACGGAUCUCUUGGUUCUGGCAUCGAUGAAGAACGCAGCGAAAUGCGAUACGUAGUGUGAAUUGCAGAAUUCAGUGAAUCAUCGAAUCUUUGAACGCACAUUGCGCCCUUUGGUAUUCCAAAGGGCAUGCCUGUUCGAGCGUCAUUUGUACCCUCAAGCUUUGCUUGGUGUUGGGCGUUGUUUGUCUUUGGCCUUGCCCAAAGACUCGCCUUAAAACAAUUGGCAGCCGGCCUACUGGUUUCGCAGCGCAGCACAUUUUUGCGCUUGCAAUCAGCAAAAGAGGUUGGCCAUCCAUCAAGACUACAUUUAUAC
rnacentral:rRNA from 1 species